UAAUUUUCAAUUAAAUUCCAAAUUUCAUAAUCUUAAUUAUUAUUUUUUUUAAUUAAAAACAAUGUGUACAGGAUCUCGAGGAUGAAGAAAAGUUUGAGGAUCACUGGAAUCUUGGACGCAGGCUGAGAACUUCUGGGAAAUAAUAAGCAGGGAUUGCAUUGACGCAUUCACGAUCUGAUCACCGCAAUCUCAAAGUUGUUCCACUUACCAGAUGAAACACAUCCGCAGCGAGGGAAAAGGAAAAAAUACGUGGAUCCGGUCGGAUUAACCACUUGCACCGUGGUCCUCCUUAAUGUGGACGGGCCAGAGGAUGUCUAGCGACUGGUAAAUCGCGGAACAUUUCAAUUUCCAACGCGACUUGGACAUCACGUGACACAAGUUGGAAACUACGCCUCUGGCAUGGGGACAGAAGGGAUUCAGAAGCGACGAGGAUGGGGCGCCAGUUCGCCCGUUGCUCCGGAACAGGCAGCAAUAUUUUCACGGAAUAUUUUCUUUUCUUUUUUUUUUUCCUCUUCGUGGAAGAAUAUUUUUUCAUCCGAGAUUUUAUCGAAGGUGAAGUUUGAUGAGAUAAGAAAAAAAGCUAUUUUCUAAGAUGCAGGAGAAUAUACUUGAAAUUGGAAAUUGGGAUUCAAGGUGAAGUUUGAGGUUUGGAGGUUUGUUCGAAAGUAUUUGGUGGAGAUUAUAAGGAUGUUUAUAAAAGAAGACGUGUGUGCAGAUUUGGCGAUGAGAAUCAUAUAAAUACCUAUUAACCGUCAACUUUGGUAGAGAACGUAUCGAUUGACCCACAAAGGGGAUCAUGCGAACGCCGAACAGAAAUUAU
rnacentral:lncRNA from 1 species